GGAAGUAAAAGUCGUAACAAGGUUUCCGUAGGUGAACCUGCGGAAGGAUCAUUACAGAGUACGGUGCCCUCGGGCGCCCACUCCAACCCUUUGUCUACCGAAAGUCGUUGCCUUGGCGGGCCGGCGUCACACACGCUACCGGUUCACGCCGGCCAGUGCCCGCCAAAGGAACCGCAAAAUCUGCUCACGGUGUCGUCCGAGUAAAUAUACAAAUAAAUCAAAACUUUCAACAACGGAUCUCUUGGUUCUGGCAUCGAUGAAGAACGCAGCGAAAUGCGAUAAGUAAUGUGAAUUGCAGAAUUCAGUGAAUCAUCGAAUCUUUGAACGCACAUUGCGCCCCCUGGCAUUCCGGGGGGCAUGCCUGUUCGAGCGUCAUUUUACCACUCAAGCCCCGCUUGGUGUUGGGUGCCGGCCUGGUGACAGGCCCGCCCGUAACUCGUCGAGACGGCGGCCGCCGGCCCUGAGCGUGACAGAAUCUCGCCGCGGGUCGGUCGGUAGACCGUCGCUAAACGUACACCUAAAGUUUGACCUCGGAUCAGGUAGGGAUACCCGCUGAACUUAAGCAUAUCAAUAAGCGGAGGA
rnacentral:rRNA from 1 species